GCUAUUGCCGGGGUGGUUGGCAUAGCUAUGGCAGUUCACUACAAUCCUACGUCAUUCGCUUCAUUUACCAUACCGAUUGUUUGUGGCCUUGGUCUCAUUGCGGUCUGCUGGACUCGUCACAGCUGCCACAUGCACAAGUGUUAUCCGGGCAAGUCCUACUGUUUGAAGGCUGUAUUUCCGUGCAUAUUGUUCGCCAUUGUUGGAUUGGUUUGUUUCGCUUUCCUCGAAACGGAAGACAAUUAUUUUCAUGUUCACAGUAUCCGGCAUAUUUCAAUUGCGCUAGCUAUAGUCUUUGUCAUCCCGCGUGGGAGUAAAAGAGUGGACAUCACGAAAACCUCUUCUAAUCAUCAUGAACCUCUCUCGUAAUUAGAAUAGCUAAGAACGAAUAGCAGUCAUUUAAAAAAAAGUUUUCGCAUUAAGUAAGUUAUGAAAAAAAAAAUUAUCUAUCUGUUUUUCUUGCAUUUAAACCAUUUCAAAGUUAUAUUUGAUUCAAGUUCAGUCAUCGUGGUAGAGCUUAGAGUGUAGGACGAUGCAUCAUGUACGUUUUUUUAUUUGUUUAUUUUUAUUUAAUUUUUUUUAAAGAGAUAUCCACAGACACGAGGUAUCCCUUUCUAGUUAGUUAGGAAUUAUACGCACCGCUGGGCAGUAGUAGGCUACUUCGUUUAUCUGCAAAUAAAUGUUUUCCUCCUUUAAAAAAACCUUAUUAUUUUUUUUUAAUUCUUAUUCUUAAUCUUAUUUCUUAGCUUUUUGGCAUUCAGUAGUAGUAGUAAAAUUAUACUUAAACCGACAACUGUACUUUUCCCUGGUAGCCUGCGUCUUUGUAAGCCUAAAAAGAGGACAUGGCGGCCUUUACUACAAACUAUCGCGCAGAGAGUCCAUUCAUUCAAAGACUGCUAUAUUAAAUAUUUUAAUUAUA